rnacentral:sRNA from 1 species
GAUGGGUGUGGUGGCCCACGCUUGUAAUCCCAGUGGCUCUGGAGGCUGAGGCAGGAGGAUUGCGAGUUCAAAGCCAGCCUCAGCAAAAGCGAGGCCCUGAGAAACUCAGUGAGACCUUGUCUCUA